rnacentral:lncRNA from 1 species
UAAAAAUCACGACUUAUUUUACGAAUUUUAACUAGCAAUAUGAUCUCACAAAAGUAUUUCUAACUCGGAGCAGAGCAAGGGCAUGAAGGGGCGACGCCGAUUGCAGUGUCGGCCUGGGCGGAUUGGCCGAGGAGCGAGCCGCAAGGGCUUGAAGGGGCAAAGGUGAGGUCCAACUCAGGCGGCGCACUGGACCGCCGAAGAGAAUCAACAGAUAUGAAAGAGUGUGAAAUGCGACGCCUCCCUCUCAAGGAUU